rnacentral:rRNA from 1 species
UACGUAGGGUGCAAGCGUUAAUCGGAAUUACUGGGCGUAAAGCGUGCGCAGGCGGUUUUGUAAGUCUGUCGUGAAAGCCCCGGGCUCAACCUGGGAAUUGCGAUGGAGACUGCAAGGCUUGAAUCUGGCAGAGGGGGGUAGAAAUUCCACGUGUAGCAGGUGAAAUUGCGUAGAGAUGAUGGAGGAACACCGAUGGCGAAGGCA